UACCCACUGAAUAAGCCCCGGCUAACCCUCCUGCCAGCCCCCGCGGUAAUACCGAGGGGGCAAGCGUUGUCCGGACUUACUGGGCGUAAAGCGUGCGUAGGCGGUGGGGAGCGUCAGCGCUGAAAACGCCCGGCUUAACCCGGCGGGGUGCGGUGGUACGACCUCACUGGAGGCAGACAGAGGAUGGCGGAAUUCCGGGUGUAGUGGUGAAAUGCGUAGAUAUCCGGAGGAACGUCGGUGGCGAAGGCGGCCCUCUGGGUCUGACCUGACGCUGAGGCACGACAGCGUGGCGAGCGAACCGGAUUAGAUACCCGGGUAGUCCACGCCGUAAACGAUGUUCGCUCGGUGUACGGGAGGGUGCAACCCCUCCUGUGUGCCCAAGUGCGGGCGGUAAGCCGACCGCCUGGGGACUACGGCCGCAAGGCUAAAACUCAAAGGAAUCGACGGGGGCCCGCACCAGCAGCGGAGCGUGUGGUUUAAUUCCACGCCCCGCGCAGAACCUUACCCCGAUUUGACAUCCCACUGCAAGCGCACGGAAACCUGUGACCUGCGAGGGUGUCCCACAGGUGCUGCAUGGCUCCCCUCAGUUCGUGUCCCGCCCCGUUGCGCUAAGUCCCGCAACCAGCCCAACCCCCGCCGUCAGUUAUACCUGUCCGGCGGGACCGCCGGGCUGGCUGCCCCGAGGGAAGGCGGGGAUGACGU
rnacentral:rRNA from 1 species